CCUACGGGGUGCUGCAGUGGGGAAUAUUGCACAAUGGGGGAAACCCUGAUGCAGCGACGCCGCGUGAGUGAAGAAGUAAUUCGUUAUGUAAAGCUCUAUCAGCAGGGAAGAAAAUGACGGUACCUGAGUAAGAAGCCCCGGCUAACUACGUGCCAGCAGCCGCGGUAAUACGUAGGGGGCAAGCGUUAUCCGGAUUUACUGGGUGUAAAGGGAGCGUAGACGGCUGUGCAAGUCUGAAGUGAAAGCCCAGGGCUCAACCCUGGGACUGCUUUGGAAACUGUGGAGCUAGAGUGCUGGAGAGGUAAGUGGAAUUCCUAGUGUAGCGGUGAAAUGCGUAGAUAUUAGGAGGAACACCAGUGGCGAAGGCGGCUUACUGGACAGUAACUGACGUUGAGGCUCGAAAGCGUGGGGAGCAAACAGGAUUAGAUACCCGAGUAGUC
rnacentral:rRNA from 1 species